UACGAAGGGGGCUAGCGUUGCUCGGAAUGACUGGGCGUAAAGCGCGCGUAGGCGGCUUUGUAAGUUAGAGGUGAAAGCCCGGGGCUCAACUCCGGAACUGCCUUUAAGACUGCAUCGCUUGAAUCCGGGAGAGGUGAGUGGAAUUCCGAGUGUAGAGGUGAAAUUCGUAGAUAUUCGGAAGAACACCAGUGGCGAAGGCGGCUCACUGGACCGGUAUUGACGCUGAGGUGCGAAAGCGUGGGGAGCAAACAGG
rnacentral:rRNA from 1 species